rnacentral:lncRNA from 1 species
UCCCCUUUUUUUUCCCACUUUUAUUUGGUUUCAUUCAAAACGGAUAAUUACCUAUAUAUCUUUCAAAAUUUCGAAAAUAUCUCAUUUAUUCUUAUUUUUUUCUUCCCAAUAUAUUCUUAAUAUGUUCCUCCGUUAUUCCAAAAUAUUUCUACAGUUACCACCCGUUAAAGUUAAUUUAGGUUAAACGUAAAUUAAUUAUCUAUCAGAGUUAAAAAAAAAAAUCAAAAUGCUUUUUUUGUUCUUAACUUAAGAAUAAAUAAAAAAUAUUGGUGAUUAUAGGAGGGUAUAUUUGAAAAGAUCAAAAUUACAAUACUUUUUGUAUCCCUAAUUUAAGACAAAUAAAAAAAAAAAAAUCAGUGAUAGUAGAAGGUAUAUUAAAAAGAACAAAAUAAUAAUUUGAUAGAAAUAACAACUAUUACUAAUAGUUCAUUUAUAAAAUUUAAUUCUAGAAGUAUAUUUGAAAUAAGUUAGAACGUAAAAAAUAUAUUUACAAUAUUAAUCUUCUAAAAAAAAUAAAUUAGAAAGUCCGAAAUUUUUCAAAAAUAUAUUAACAAUUGUCCAUAUUCAAAAAAAAAAAAAAAAAAAAA